UACGAAGGGGGCUAGCGUUGUUCGGAAUCACUGGGCGUAAAGGGCGCGUAGGCGGCUUGAUAAGUCGGGGGGUGAAAGCCUGUGGCUCAACCACAGAAUUGCCUUCGAUACUGUCGAGCUUGAGACCGGAAGAGGUAAGUGGAACUGCGAGUGUAGAGGUGAAAUUCGUAGAUAUUCGCAAGAACACCAGUGGCGAAGGCGGCUUACUGGUCCGGUUCUGACGCUGAGGCGCGAAAGCGUGGGGAGCAAACAGG
rnacentral:rRNA from 1 species